rnacentral:rRNA from 1 species
GUCUCUCUUGAGUGGAUCCUGAGUACGACGGAGCACGUGAAAUUCCGUCGGAAUCUGGGAGGACCAUCUCCUAAGGCUAAAUACUCUCUAGUGACCGAUAGUGAACCAGUACCGUGAGGGAAAGGUGAAAAGCACCCCGGAAGGGGAGUGAAAUAGAACCUGAAACCGUGUGCUUACAAGUAGUUAGAGCCCGUUAAUGGGUGAUGGCGUGCCUUUUGUAGAAUGAACCGGCGAGUUACGAUUUGAUGCAAGGUUAAGCAGUAAAUGUGGAGCCGUAGCGAAAGCGAGUCUGAAUAGGGCGUUUAGUAUUUGGUCGUAGACCCGAAACCAGGUGAUCUACCCUUGGUCAGGUUGAAGUUCAGGUAACACUGAAUGGAGGACCGAACCGACUUACGUUGAAAAGUGAGCGGAUGAACUGAGGGUAGCGGAGAAAUUCCAAUCGAACCUGGAGAUAGCUGGUUCUCUCCGAAAUAGCUUUAGGGCUAGCCUCAAGUGAUGAUUAUUGGAGGUAGAGCACUGUUUGGACGAGGGGCCCCUCUCGGGUUACCGAAUUCAGACAAACUCCGAAUGCCAAUUAAUUUAACUUGGGAGUCAGAACAUGGGUGAUAAGGUCCGUGUUCGAAAGGGAAACAGCCCAGACCACCAGCUAAGGUCCCAAAAUAUAUGUUAAGUGGAAAAGGAUGUGGCGUUGCCCAGACAACUAGGAUGUUGGCUUAGAAGCAGCCAUCAUUUAAAGAGUGCGUAAUAGCUCACUAGUCGAGUGACACUGCGCCGAAAAUGUACCGGGGCUAAACAUAUUACCGAAGCUGUGGAUUGUCCUUUGGACAAUGGUAGGAGAGCGUUCUAAGGGCGUUGAAGCAUGAUCGUAAGGACAUGUGGAGCGCUUAGAAGUGAGAAUGCCGGUGUGAGUAGCGAAAGACGGGUGAGAAUCCCGUCCACCGAUUGACUAAGGUUUCCAGAGGAAGGCUCGUCCGCUCUGGGUUAGUCGGGUCCUAAGCUGAGGCCGACAGGCGUAGGCGAUGGAUAACAGGUUGAUAUUCCUGUACCACCUAUAAUCGUUUUAAUCGAUGGGGGGACGCAGUAGGAUAGGCGAAGCGUGCGAUUGGAUUGCACGUCUAA